GGAAGAAUGGCGGAAUCGGUAGACGCACACGGCAACACAACCCGUGGCCGCAGAUGGCGGCGUAAGAGUUCAACUCUCUUUUCUUCCA
rnacentral:tRNA from 1 species